rnacentral:rRNA from 1 species
GUACGGGAGGCAGCAGUAAGGAAUAUUGGUCAAUGGACGCAAGUCUGAACCAGCCAUGCCGCGUGCAGGAUGACAGCCCUAUGGGUUGUAAACUGCUUUUGUACGGGAAAAAACCUCCGGUCGUGAACCGGAGCUGAUGGUACCGUAAGAAUAAGCAUCGGCUAACUCCGUGCCAGCAGCCGCGGUAAUACGGAGGAUGCAAGCGUUAUCCGGAUUCAUUGGGUUUAAAGGGUGCGCAGGCGGAAUGAUAAGUCAGUGGUGAAAUCCUACAGCUUAACUGUAGAACUGCCAUUGAUACUGUCGUUCUUGAGUACAGUUGGAGUGGGCGGAAUGUGUCAUGUAGCGGUGAAAUGCUUAGAUAUGACACAGAACACCAGUCGCGAAGGCAGCUCGCUAAACUGUAACUGACGCUCAUGCACGAAAGCGUGGGGAUCAAACAGGAUUAGAUACCCCGGU